AACGAAGUGAAUUGAAAUAUCUUAGUAACUUUAGGAAAAGAAAUCAAACGAGAUUGUUAUUUGGUGCAAACUAAAUAACAAGAGUCUAUAAACAAAACUUGUUAAAGUAAAAUGGAUUAAAAUCUGUUUGAAUAUAGGGGAACCUUCCUCUAAGGCUAAAUAUGAUAUAUAAGCGAUAGUGAAAAGUACCGUGAGGUAAAAUUUGAAAUAGUAAUUUUAUAAGCAGCUCGAGUGAAAAUUUAAAUAAGUAAUGAGAGUGUACCUUUUGCAUAAUGGGUCAGCAAGUUAAUUUUAGAUGCAAGCAAUGAUUUCGUGCGCUUUGCGCAUGAAACUAGCUUAGAUAAACCAAUUAUGAGAAAAUGAAUAAGUAUCUAGAAUUAGACCCGAAGGCUAGUGAUCUUACCAUGGUCAGGGUUAUAAAAGCCCGAACGGGUUAUCGUUGUAUAGAUAUCCGAAGAAUUGUGGUAAGUUAGUGAAAGACAAAACUGACUAGUAUAGCUGGUUUUCCGCGAAACCUAUAUGAGUAGGUAAUUUAACUAACAUCUUAGCAGGUACAGAACUGUGAUCUCGGACAAUAUCUUUUGAUUUUGUCAACAUCGGGGGGUUGUAGUGACUUUACCGGAGAGUAUUUGCACUCGGAAUGGCAAAGAUGAAUGUUGAAUAAUCGGACAUAGUGCGAUAAGGUUGUAUGUCUAAAGGGAAACAGCCCAGAACAAGAGUUAAGGUUCCAAAAUUAUUGUUGAGUGAAAUUAAGGAUGUUUUUUUUAAAAACAAUCAGGAAAUAGGCUUAGAAGCGGCCAUUUUUUGAAGACCUCGUAACAGAGCACUGAUUAAUUAAAUUUAGAAAAAAACACCGAAAAUUUAACGGAUCUAAACAAUAUACCGAAACCUUGUACACAUAUUUAUAAUAUUAAUAUUGUAUAUGUGGGGUAGCGGAACAUUGGAUAAAUAUUAAUUAUUAUUUCUUCUAAGAAGUAAUAAGUAUGGAUUAUUAUUAAAAAUAUUUAUUUAUUAAAGAUAUUUAUGUAAUAUUAUUAUACCUAAAAGGUAUAAUGUUUAGAUGAAUAUAUAGAUAGAUUAUAUCUGUCUUUAUUAUUAAUAUAAUCCAUCGAUAUAAUCCAAGAGAGAAUGCUGACAUGAGUAACGAAAAAGGAAUAUCCUCGCCUUAAGCUUAUGGUAUUAUAUUUAAUUUUCGGUAUCUAAAAGUAUUAAUCAAAAGGUAAUUUUGAUGAUAUUUAUAUAUAAAUACUUAAAAAUAAAAAACAAAACCUUUAACAAGUAAUAAAGGUUCUGGAAAAUUUUUUAUUUUUAUAAAGUGAAGUAUAAUGCAAUAUAGAUAUAUUAUAAUCUAUAUAAUUUUCUUGUUACAAGUUUUCAAGAUUGUAUAGAUUUUAUCUAUAUUAAAUAUAUUUUCUUUUUUAUACUAUUGUAUAAGUAAGGUUUAUAUAUACCGUACCUAGAUACUAUCACAAGUAAGCAAGUAGAGAAUACAAAGGCGUUUGAGUGAACAAUCAUUAAGGAACUCGGCAAAUUGACUACCGUAACUUCGGGAUAAGGAGGGCCAUUAUGAUUAGUUUAACAUAUCUUAUGAUAUGAUUUAAUUAAACUAAUCAUAAGAGGAAACAUGAAAUAAUGUUGUACGACUGUUUAAUAAAAACACAGCACUCUGCAAAGAUAAAAUAUCAAAGUAUUGAGUGUGAUGUCUGCCCAAUGUCGGCUGGGUAACGGAUUUACCUUGGUUUUUAACUGAGGUUUUGAAGGAUACCCCGAUUAAUGGCGGCCUUACCUAUGAGGGUCCUAAGGUAGCGAAAUACCUUGGCCGUUAAAUGCGGUCCUGCAUGAAUGACUUAACGAUACAACAGCUGUCUCGAUGAUUGUCUCAGUGAAAUUGGAAUAGCAGUGCAGAUACUGUUUACCUCUAGAUAGACGAGAAGACCCUAUGCAGCUUUACUGUUACUAAUUGCAAGAGUGGAAAUUUAGGAUGAUUUCGAGUGUAUAAGGUAGUUGUUUGAUAACAAUGAAACACCUUUAUUCGUUUCCUACUAUAUGCUCUUGAGGAUUGGGAGGCAGUUUAUGCGGGGCACAGAUCCCACAAAAAGUACCUGGGUAUAUCCAAAGUUCAUUUUGUAAAUUUGUAAAUUUCUUUACAAAUAUUUUAAUUUGUUAUAAUUAUAUUCAUAAUUAUACAGUUAUUGUUAGAUUAAGUUCAAUAUUUAUUUUUUAUUUAAGUAAGAUUUUAACUAUAUGGUGAAUAGAUGUAUUUUAAACUUUACCCGGGGAGGGAGUGAUCCAACUCCGGGAUAUUUAAAAGUUUUUUCUCAUAUUAAUAUUGUAUUUUAUCUUUAUUGAUAUGAUAAUUAAUUAUACUUUAAAAGUUUAAUGGCUAAAUCUUGCUUUACUGUUUGACCUACAAGUCUAUCAGUCGCGUAAGCGGGGCAUAUGAUCACAAGAUGCAUAAAGGAAAGGUCUUGGAUUAUAGAAAAAGUUACGCUAGGGAUAACAGGCUAAUUUGCGCAAGAGAGUACAAAUUGAGUGCGCGGUUUGGCACCUCGAUGUCGGCUUAGCUCAUCCACAUGAAUGCAAAAAUCAUGAAGGGUUCGACUGUUCGUCGAUUAAAGAGCUACAUGAGCUGGGUUUAAUACGUCGUGAGACAGUAUGGUUUCUAUCUUCUAGAGGGAAUUAAAGUAGAAUAAAGAUAGCCCCUUCGUACGAAAGGAGUUGGGUAUAUUGACCUAUGGUUUACCUGUUGUUUAUGUUAUAUAUUAUUAUACAUAAUAUAUCAUUUACUUAUACUUAAGUAAAUUGUUCACAUAGGCAUGGCAGGAAGGCUACGUCAGUUAAAGAUAAGUGCUGAAAGCAUUUAAGCGCGAAGCUUACUUUAGGAUACUUUUAAACGUAGUAGAACACUACGA
rnacentral:rRNA from 1 species